GAAUAGCAUAUGGGUUUGCCUGCCACAGGCGAAGGGUCGGACUUGUUUAGCAGAAGAGUUUUCUCUGUUGCAGGAUAUGGAGGAUUUGCCAAAAUUUUGCUAUCAAAUCGAAAAGCUAUAGUAGCUUUAAUGCAAUUUGUUUGGUAAUAUCCUCUAUAUUAUUUGCCCCUAAAAAUUCUUCUCUUGAACAAUGCCCACCCUUCGUCUCUGGACAUAUUCCCAUGCCUUUC
rnacentral:pre_miRNA from 1 species